CUCACAAACACCUUACAGAGAAAGCUGAGAGACAGAAAGAGAGAGAUGGGAGGCUUUCCAUGUGAAUCUGAAUCUUGGGUUACCUCCACAACCUCAGUCCACCAAAGCCCAGAAAAUGAAGCCUUGGAAAACCACCACCAAAGCACUUCUACUGGGUUUCUCAACCAAGACGAAGAGUGGGCAAAACUGAAUAUUAAUAACACGAAGAAGAAGAAAAACCAGGUGUUGCUUGAAGGCUACGUGGAGGCUGCCGAUGAGGACGAUCUGACAAGGACCAAAAGCUUGACGGGUGAGGAUCUGGAUGAGCUCAGAGGGUGCUUGGAUCUUGGCUUUGGGUUCAGCUACGAUGAAAUUCCUGAGCUCUGUAACACCUUGCCUGCGCUUGAGCUCUGCUAUUCCAUGAGCCAGAAGUUCAUGGAUGAGCACCAGAAGUCUCCGGAGAGUGCUCAGUCGCCGGCCUCGGACUCGUGCUCGUCCGUGUCGAGCCCGAUUGCCAACUGGAGGAUCUCUAGUCCUGGCGACCAUCCAGAAGAUGUCAAGGCAAGGCUCAAAUUUUGGGCGCAGGCUGUGGCAUGUACUGUUAGAUUAUGCAGCUAAAAGAACUAAUGGAUUCAUCAGCAGAGGAAAUCAUACAUUUUCUUUACAAUUGGAAGCCGUUAGCCUGGAGCUUCGUGUGGAGCUUGCGCUUCACUUGUCCUCCGGGACUAACUUUUUUCAGGAAUGAAUGUUCCUGCUAUUUUUUAGCUGGAAAUGGACCUGCUAAAACCUGUUGAUGAUGAUGGGUCGGCUUUAAUGAAGAAGAAGAAGAAGAAGAGGAGGAAAAGUUUCAGGUGGCUGAGAAUUCCAAACUUAGCUGUUGGCUCUAUGCAGCAGCGAGAGCCUCCAUUUUACAGCUUCACCAGCCCCUUGCAGACCUCUGCAUUUGCUGAGAUGAAUGCCCAUGAUUCAGCUGCUACUGCAGGAGCAAGGGGAAGAGGGAGAAAAAGGAGUGCUAACUUGUACAUCUUCAUUCAUCACUUCAUUUCCCCAACUUAUCUCAAUUCUUGUGUCACUUUUGUAUCCAGAACAUGUUUACUGACACUUAACCUUUUUGUUGUUGAUAAGUUAAAGCUUGUUUCUGCCAAAGGUGUCAAACCCUGUAAGAUAGCUAAGAAAUCGAAAGAAACAUGCCUGAAUUUGGCAUGUGAUUUUGAUA